rnacentral:rRNA from 1 species
AAGUCGAACGGUGAAGCCCAGCUUGCUGGGUGGAUCAGUGGCGAACGGGUGAGUAACACGUGAGCAACCUGCCCCUGACUCUGGGAUAAGCGCUGGAAACGGCGUCUAAUACUGGAUACGAACCACAGUCGCAUGGCUCGUGGUUGGAAAGAUUUUUUGGUUGGGGAUGGGCUCGCGGCCUAUCAGCUUGUUGGUGAGGUAAUGGCUCACCAAGGCGUCGACGGGUAGCCGGCCUGAGAGGGUGACCGGCCACACUGGGACUGAGACACGGCCCAGACUCCUACGGGAGGCAGCAGUGGGGAAUAUUGCACAAUGGGCGCAAGCCUGAUGCAGCAACGCCGCGUGAGGGAUGACGGCCUUCGGGUUGUAAACCUCUUUUAGCAAGGAAGAAGCGAAAGUGACGGUACUUGCAGAAAAAGCGCCGGCUAACUACGUGCCAGCAGCCGCGGUAAUACGUAGGGCGCAAGCGUUAUCCGGAAUUAUUGGGCGUAAAGAGCUCGUAGGCGGUUUGUCGCGUCUGCUGUGAAAUCCCGAGGCUCAACCUCGGGCCUGCAGUGGGUACGGGCAGACUAGAGUGCGGUAGGGGAGAUUGGAAUUCCUGGUGUAGCGGUGGAAUGCGCAGAUAUCAGGAGGAACACCGAUGGCGAAGGCAGAUCUCUGGGCCGUAACUGACGCUGAGGAGCGAAAGGGUGGGGAGCAAACAGGCUUAGAUACCCUGGUAGUCCACCCCGUAAACGUUGGGAACUAGUUGUGGGGUCCUUUCCACGGAUUCCGUGACGCAGCUAACGCAUUAAGUUCCCCGCCUGGGGAGUACGGCCGCAAGGCUAAAACUCAAAGGAAUUGACGGGGACCCGCACAAGCGGCGGAGCAUGCGGAUUAAUUCGAUGCAACGCGAAGAACCUUACCAAGGCUUGACAUACACGAGAACACCCUAGAAAUAGGGGACUCUUUGGACACUCGUGAACAGGUGGUGCAUGGUUGUCGUCAGCUCGUGUCGUGAGAUGUUGGGUUAAGUCCCGCAACGAGCGCAACCCUCGUUCUAUGUUGCCAGCACGUAAUGGU